rnacentral:rRNA from 1 species
CACUCAAUUGGAAAGAGGAGUGGCGGAUGGGUGAGUAACACGUGGGUAACCUACCCAUCAGAGGGGGAUAACACUUGGAAACAGGUGCUAAUACCGCAUAACAGUUUAUGCCGCAUGGCAUAAGAGUGAAAGGCGCUUUCGGGUGUCGCUGAUGGAUGGACCCGCGGUGCAUUAGCUAGUUGGUGAGGUAACGGCUCACCAAGGCCACGAUGCAUAGCCGACCUGAGAGGGUGAUCGGCCACACUGGGACUGAGACACGGCCCAGACUCCUACGGGAGGCAGCAGUAGGGAAUCUUCGGCAAUGGACGAAAGUCUGACCGAGCAACGCCGCGUGAGUGAAGAAGGUUUUCGGAUCGUAAAACUCUGUUGUUAGAGAAGAACAAGGACGUUAGUAACUGAACGUCCCCUGACGGUAUCUAACCAGAAAGCCACGGCUAACUACGUGCCAGCAGCCGCGGUAAUACGUAGGUGGCAAGCGUUGUCCGGAUUUAUUGGGCGUAAAGCGAGCGCAGGCGGUUUCUUAAGUCUGAUGUGAAAGCCCCCGGCUCAACCGGGGAGGGUCAUUGGAAACUGGGAGACUUGAGUGCAGAAGAGGAGAGUGGAAUUCCAUGUGUAGCGGUGAAAUGCGUAGAUAUAUGGAGGAACACCAGUGGCGAAAGGCGGCUCUCUGGUCUGUAACUGACGCUGAGGCUCGAAAGCGUGGGGGAGCAAACAGGAUUUAGAUAACCCUGGUAGUCCACGCCGUAAACGAUGAGUGCUAAGUGUUGGAGGGUUUCCGCCUUCAGUGCUGCAGCAAACGCAUUAAGCACUCCGCCUGGGGAGUACGACCGCAAGGUUGAAACUCAAAAGGAAUUGACGGGGGCCCGCACAAGCGGUGGAGCAUGUGGUUUAAUUCGAAGCAACGCGAAGAACCUUACCAGGUCUUGACAUCCUUUGACCACUCUAGAGAUAGAGCUUUCCCUUCGGGGACAAAGUGACAGGUGGUGCAUGGUUGUCGUCAGCUCGUGUCGUGAGAUGUUGGGUUAAGUCCCGCAACGAGCGCAACCCUUAUUGUUAGUUGCCAUCAUUUAGUUGGGCACUCUAGCGAGACUGCCCGGUGACAAACCGGAGGAAGGUGGGGAUGACGUCAAAUCAUCAUGCCCCUUAUGACCUGGGCUACACACGUGCUACAAUGGGAAGUACAACGAGUCGCUAGACCGCGAGGUCAUGCAAAUCUCUUAAAGCUUCUCUCAGUUCGGAUUGCAGGCUGCAACUCGCCUGCAUGAAGCCGGAAUCGCUAGUAAUCGCGGAUCAGCACGCCGCGGGAAUACGUUCCCGGGCCUUGUACACACCGCCCGUCACACCACGAGAGUUUGUAACACCCGAAGUCGGUGAGGUAACCUUUUUGGAGCCAGCCGCCUAAGGUGGGAUAGA